UCAUUUUGGCUACAGUGCAGUAUUUUCCCCUGAAAGGGGAUCAUCUGAGUCAUCUUCAGCCCCGUCUUCUUCCAGGAGCUUUGCCCCACGUGCGCGACAGCAAGGAUUUGGGCAAGGGGGACAACCCCCAAGUGCCGCCUGAGGGUCACCACGUGGAAGGACCAAGUCUCUGAUAGCAGAAAGAAUAGGGGAAAAUAUCAUCUUUUUGACACGGGUGCUCGGACGGAAAGGUUAAUUCUGGCCUGGCACUGAAGACCUGGCCGUCGUGGUCCUGCUUUCCCUGGGAGGGCCACGCAGUAAGUACGAGGCUUGUUGGCUCCCUCUCCCUCCAGGUCGUACGUGCCCGGUUUACUGCUUUUCCUACCCCCGCUGAGCACCUCCCCAGCCACCACCGCAGCAUCUUCAUGGAAGAAGCAUCACCAAAUUCAGUCCCGAAGCAGACUUGCACUCGGCUACACUUCUCCAUCACGGGCAAGGACAGCAAUUUGGCUUCAAACCCCAGAGCUGCCCGUGCCAAAAAGCAAGAGGAGCUGCUGUAGUUUCCCUCUCUUGCUACCAACCUUUUGGUCCCGACGACCCCCGUAAAUAAAGCAGCUAAUUAACGCCCUUCUCCUCCCGCCGGUGAUUGACUGUGACCUUGAACGACCUUGCUUAAUUCAACUUUCUCGACCAGCUAUUUUCGACAGCGAGUGAUUUCACGUCCUUGUGACCCCAGCCUUGUCUCUCUCCUGCCAACUGGCUCUGCAGUGUCCACGAACAGCAAUAAAUAAAUACGUAUCUGCAGAGGGACCUAAACGACUCCCAUUACUGGAGCAUCUGAAGGCCUGCUUAAAUAAAUCAGGCGAGGAGGAGCUUAUGCUGCAAUCGUGUGGAGAGGAAAAGGAGAGAAUACAUGACUGGUAUUCCAGAGCCUGCGAGCGGGGCGAGCGCCAUUGUCAAGUCAGGAAGGUUGCUGCUUCAUCCAAGUGCUCCUGGGCCGCCGGGGGAAUCAUCUUGGUGCCUUCAGAGAGGAGAAAAUGCUUGGCUUGCCCUCACCAGCAGCUCCUGCACUGGGGGUGGAGCCUGCAGAAGCCUCUCCCUGAUUUUUUUUAUAGGGUGAAAAUGAGGAUACGGGCACCAGAUGCCCGCCACUGCCACUGUUUUUUUCCAUUUUCUCCCCCAGAUGUGCCCCUGAGCAGAAGCCCCAGCCCUCACCCACCCCAGGACCACAGGGUGCAGGACAACCCCUUCCCAGGAGGGCAGAAACCCUCAUCCAUCAGCCUUCUUUAGGAUCCCACAGGGACAACGCCAUCCCUCCGCAUGUUGAAGGAGCUGCCGGCUGCCAUUUGCCUUCUUCUUAUUCCUCCUUUAAUUACAGGCCCCGAUUUUAAAGCCUGGGCAUUUCUUCCUUCCCCCUCACACAUCCCUCACCUCGCCGCUGUGGCCUCGUGCGGUGGCAUUGACUGUAUUUACAUCAUUUUCCUUCCCCUGCUGAGGCUGAAAUUGAAAACGCAGCCGAACCCUCGGCUCGGGCUCCUCAUCCCCACAGGGAGAAGGGAGCGCUUGGGGACCCUAAUUCGGUGCAGGAGCUUUUCCCUAAAGCUUUCCAGGCUGUUAACAGAAUAAAAACCUGACUGAGUUGUC